AGAAACGUUUGUUUGUCUUUGAAACAUUCUCAUCAUUCUCCUAUAUUCUGUACUAUCUGUGCAGAUAAAUGCUGCAGUAAACAUCAUGUAAAAGAUUUCUGAGACAAAUAGGUGAGACUACAGGGUUUAGCUUUUGUUAGCGUAGGCUUCCACUUUGCUGUGUCAUACUUUUUGUCACGGCGGCAGAUGUGUGGAGUUAUAGAGAAGUGGGCCCAAACGCAGACAAUGUGGAUGGUAUAAGAGAAAACAAGCCUUUAUUGGUGGCUGAAAAGAAACACUACAAAACAAACCAGCAAAAAACCUAAACUGGAAGCAUGGAGCUGAACAAGCUGAAACCUGAAACCAGAGCUGAAGACCAGGGAUGAUACACAGACGAUCCGAUGAGGACUAAAGGGAAGCACACACUAUGGAGGAAACGGCAGGGAACACAGCUGAGACUAAUCAGACAAGACGAGACCGCCAGCAACACAGCAGUCACCCCAGGACAAAAAGGAGAAGCUUCUGGAUGAAGCGGUGCAAGCUGUCGAGAUCCAGUCAUUCCAAAUGAAGCAAUGCCCGACCACAUGAGGCUUCAGCACUGUGUCUGAGGAGGUGGUAUCAGAUGAUGGUGCUCUCUUCCUUCCUCUUUACCUUCUACUCAUCGGAGUUCAGUUAUAACACCACCAACUGCCACCUCCAGAGCAGGAUACGGGCUUCGUUGGAUGUGGACCUGAGGCGAAACGAUCUUGAGCAUAGGAAGGUUAUCACACACUCACUGUCAUCUGGUGUAACUCGACAACAUGCACAUCAGCACCAGCGUAUCAAAACAAGAUGUUGGUUGAUUUCUGGAGAAAGCCGAGACCUAUCGGUGCGAUAUCGGUGCGAUAGGUCUCCACCGAAUUUCUCCACAGUUUGGACUGGUGCAAAUUGCCAGGUGAUAACAGAUAACACUGAUGCUCCAUUUGCUGGACAGGCUGAGGUCUUUUGAGGUGUGCAGGACAUUACUGAAGACCUUUUAUGACGUAGGUCCUUCAUCUUGACAGCACUCAGACUGUUUAAUACCCACACAGGAUAAAGGUGUUUAAAAAAUACAUGUGUGUUAUUAUCACUCUCACUGUGGUAUAUGUACAUAUUGUUCGUGUAUUUUACUCUAUAUAGAAACCAUCUGUACAUAGUUUAGUAUUCUGGCUUAUUGUACACUAUUUGUAUUUUUCUAAUAUAUCUCUCAUUAACUGUUUCUUCCUGCUUCUCGUGCUCCUGUAACAAGGCAA